rnacentral:tRNA from 1 species
GGAGGGGUGCGAGAGUGGUUGAAUCGGGCGGUCUCGAAAACCGUUGACCCUCACGGGUCCGUGGGUUCGAAUCCCACCUCCUCCG